rnacentral:rRNA from 1 species
CAGUCGAACGAGCGAGAGAGAGCUUGCUUUCUCGAGCGAGUGGCGAACGGGUGCCUUACGCGUGAGGAACCUGCCUCAAAGAGGGGGACAACAGUUGGAAACGACUGCUAAUACCGCAUAAGCCCACGACCCGGCAUCGGGUUGAGGGAAAAGGAGCAAUCCGCUUUGAGAUGGCCUCGCGUCCGAUUAGCUAGUUGGUGAGGUAAUGGCCCACCAAGGCAACGAUCGGUAGCCGGACUGAGAGGUUGAACGGCCACAUUGGGACUGAGACACGGCCCAGACUCCUACGGGAGGCAGCAGUGGGGAAUAUUGCACAAUGGGGGAAACCCUGAUGCAGCGACGCCGCGUGGAGGAAGAAGGUUUUCGGAUUGUAAACUCCUGUCGUUAGGGACGAUAAUGACGGUACCUAACAAGAAAGCACCGGCUAACUACGUGCCAGCAGCCGCGGUAAAACGUAGGGUGCAAGCGUUGUCCGGAAUUACUGGGUGUAAAGGGAGCGCAGGCGGGAAGACAAGUUGGAAGUGAAAACCAUGGGCUCAACCCAUGAAUUGCUUUCAAAACUGUUUUUCUUGAGUAGUGCAGAGGUAGAUGGAAUUCCCGGUGUAGCGGUGGAAUGCGUAGAUAUCGGGAGGAACACCAGUGGCGAAGGCGGUCUACUGGGCACCAACUGACGCUGAGGCUCGAAAGCAUGGGUAGCAAACAGGAUUAGAUACCCUGGUAGUCCAUGCCGUANACGAUGAUUACUAGGUGUUGGGGGNUUGACCCCCUCAGUGCCG